AGAAACCCUCGCCGUCCUCGACCGUCUGGACUUGGAUACAGAGAAGCCGUCUGAAGAAGAAGUAGCCCGCAAGUUCGGCUUCGAAGAAGAUUACUACAACGGCACCGUAUCGUGGUGGCAGCAGUUGAAGCCUCAAAUGUGGUCUCUAUUUGAUGAGCCCUAUAGUUCAAAUGCUGCCAAGAUAAUCGGCGUAAUAUCAGUGUUCUUCAUAUGCGUGUCAAUCAUAUCGUUCUGCCUGAAAACCCAUCCGGACAUGAGGGUUCCAGUGAUCCGAAACUAUACAGUGACAACCGCGAAUCAAACGAAAAGCUGGGCUUUAGACAAAACGCAAACAAAUGCCCAUAUAGCUUUCUUUUACAUCGAGUGCAUGUGCAACGCGUGGUUCACUUUAGAGAUACUUGUUCGUUGCAUAUCAUCCCCAAAUAAGUGUGACUUUAUCAAAUCUUCCGUAAACAUCAUUGAUUAUAUUGCCACCAUGAGUUUCUACAUUGAUCUCAUUCUUCAGAAAUACUUUUCCCAUUUGGAGAACGCCGAUAUUCUCGAGUUCUUCUCCAUUAUAAGGAUAAUGAGACUUUUUAAAUUGACGAGGCAUUCGUCUGGUUUGAAAAUUUUGAUUCAGACGUUUAGAGCGUCCGCAAAAGAACUGACUUUGUUAGUAUUUUUCCUAGUGUUGGGUAUAGUGAUAUUUGCGAGUUUGGUCUACUAUGCGGAGAGGAUACAGACGAAUCCUCACAAUGACUUCAACAGCAUACCGCUGGGUCUGUGGUGGGCGUUGGUCACCAUGACGACGGUCGGUUAUGGUGACAUGGCCCCCAAAACCUACGUGGGAAUGUUUGUAGGAGCAUUAUGCGCAUUGGCUGGUGUAUUAACGAUUGCGUUACCCGUGCCGGUCAUCGUAUCCAAUUUCGCGAUGUACUACUCGCACACUCAAGCUCGAGCCAAGCUGCCCAAGAAGAGGCGAAGAGUGAUCAACGUUGAGCCAACUAGGCCACCAAUACCAGGUGCCCCGGGCGCACAGGGGGUCCCCGGCGGGGGUCCAAUGGCCCCUGGAAUGGGACCUCAAGCGGUCAAUCGGCGAAUGAACGCCAUAAAAACCAAUCAUCCUAAGGACAUGAUGGGACCUAACAUGGAUGGCGAUCGUAGCGAGCUUGAAGCUAUGAUCCAAACAACACCAAACAACUGCAAAAGAAAAAACUUGAACAUGCUUUAGAAAGCGACACUCAUGGGUCUCCGAAAAGGCUUAAUAUAUCGCCUGCACACACGGAAUUAGCUUACAGGAAUGCUACAUCUGAAUAUAUAGGCACUAAUCAUUCAUCAUCUAUGCACAUAAGGCAAUAACUUCAAGCAGCACGAAGGAACCACCGUCUAGGUCCCUUUGCUUCGUCGGUCAGAUAAGAAGUCGCAAGCCUGAUGCCGGGUAUGGAUCUGUCUGUUACCACACGUCUGACUCCAAGUCCUCGAGAUAUGAGUCCGGCUCUCGCUAUAGCAAUUCCCAUGAUGAAGUCAGUCAACCUCGUACCUUCA